UAGGGAAUCUUCGGCAAUGGACGCAAGUCUGACGGAGCAACGCCGCGUGAGUGAAGAAGGAUUUCGGUUCGUAAAACUCUGUUGUUAGAGAAGAACAGCGCAUAGAGUAACUGUAUGCGUGUGACGGUAUCUAACCAGAAAGCCACGGCUAACUACGUGCCAGCAGCCGCGGUAAUACGUAGGUGGCAAGCGUUGUCCGGAUUUAUUGGGCGUAAAGCGAGCGCAGGCGGUCAAUUAAGUCUGAUGUGAAAGCCCCCGGCUCAACCGGGGAGGGUCAUUGGAAACUGGUUGACUUGAGUGCAGAAGAGGAGAGUGGAAUUCCAUGUGUAGCGGUGAAAUGCGUAGAUAUAUGGAGGAACACCAGUGGCGAAGGCGACUCUCUGGUCUGUAACUGACGCUGAGGUUCGAAAGCGUGGGUAGCAAACAGG
rnacentral:rRNA from 1 species